UACGUAGGGUGCGAGCGUUGCCCGGAUUUAUUGGGCGUAAAGGGCGCGUAGGCGGAGCCGCGCGUCGCUCGUGAAAUCUCCCGGCUUACCCGGGAGGGGUCGGGCGAUACGGCGGCUCUCGAGCGCGGGAGAGGGAAGCGGAAUUCCCGGUGUAGUGGUGGAAUGCGUAGAGAUCGGGAGGAACACCAGUGGCGAAGGCGGCUUCCUGGACCGUGGCUGACGCUGAUGCGCGAAAGCGUGGGGAGCGAUCCGG
rnacentral:rRNA from 1 species